GAUUAUGGCUCAGGAUGAACGCUGGCGGCGUGCCUAAUACAUGCAAGUCGAACGAGGGUGCCUGCACCCUAGUGGCGAACGGGUGAGUAACACGUAGGUAACCUGCCCUUAAGCUUGGGAUACCCAGAGGAAACUUUGGCUAAUACCGGAUAACAACAGAAGAGGCAUCUCUUCAGUUUGAAAGGCCCUUUACGGGGUCACUUAAGGAUGGACCUGCGGCGCAUUAGCUAGUUGGUGAGAUAACAGCCCACCAAGGCGAGGAUGCGUAGCCGACCUGAGAGGGUGAUCGGCCACAUUGGAACUGAGACACGGUCCAAACUCCUACGGGAGGCAGCAGUAAGGAGUUUUCGGCAAUGGGGGAAACCCUGACCGAGCAACGCCGCGUUGAGUGAUGACGGCCCUAUGGGUUGUAAAGCUCUGUUGUAAGGGACGAACGACUAGGUUAGGAAAUGAACUUAGUUUGACGGUACCUUACCAGAAAGCCACGGCUAACUACGUGCCAGCCGCAGC
rnacentral:rRNA from 1 species